rnacentral:lncRNA from 1 species
AAAAAAAAAAGUAGACUCAUUCUCACUCACUACCCUCUUCAACCAAUCAAAAAAUGAAAUCUAAUAACUACAGUAUCUCAUGGAACAGAAGAUCUAUAGAUAAUGUUCUCCCCUUAUCAAAAUUGUGUACAGAAAAUUAGGAUGCUUACUGAGAAGAACUAUUCAACCACACAUAAAAGAGCUAUCAAGAUCUCACCAUAUGAUUCCCAAAAGUUCCUACGUCAAUAACUGCUAUUAUUUUAUUAGUUAAAAAAAAGGUCUUUGCUCAGCUUGCUUCACUCAACUCCUAGCCUAUCAUUCAAUAAUACCCCUUUCACCACAUGUACCAAUACUUCGAUUGUUCUAUUUGCCACCACAUGCACCAAUACUUCACAAGAGAAAAUUGUAGAUUAGUGUGGCAUACAAUAGGAUACUAUGCAAGUACCUGGAGAUCCUCUGGGAGGUACUGGUGCUUCAUUGAGAGGUCCAUGGCACGCUUAAGGCGCUGGAUUCUGGCAUCAACAAUCUCCCUUGGAAGGCGAUUAAGAGCUUCCUUGACGUCCAAAUCGUACAUUGGAUCAUGCAGAUCAUCAUAUCUAAGCCC